rnacentral:rRNA from 1 species
GACGAACGCUGGCGGCGUGCCUAAUACAUGCAAGUAGAACGCACAGUUUAUACCGUAGCUUGCUACACCAUAGACUGUGAGUUGCGAAAGGGGGAGUAACCCGUAGGUAACCUGCCUGGUAGCGGGGGGUAACUGUUGGUAACGAUAGCUAAUACCGCAUAAUGUUUAUUAUUGCAUGAUAAUUAAUUGAAAUGUGCAAUUGCACCACUACCAGAUAGACCUUCGGUGUAUUAGCUAGUAGGUGAGGUAACGGCUCACCUAGGCGACGAUACAUAGCCGGCCUGAGAGGGUGGUUGGCCACCCUGGGACUGAGACACGGCCCAUACGCCCUGAGGAGGCAGCAGUAGGGAAGCGGCGGGAAUGGGGGAAAGUCUGACCGAGCAACGCCGCGUGAGUGAAGAAGGGUGUCGGAUCGUAAAGUGCGGUGGUGAGAGAAGAACGGGUGUUGGAGUGUGAAGUUCACACUGUGACGGUAUUUUACCAGAAAGCGACGGCUAACUACGUG